rnacentral:lncRNA from 1 species
AUUUUGGUAUAAAUUGUAUAAUUUUUUGUUUGUAUAUUUAAUUGUUUGUUUAUCAAACUAAAUUGUAAUAUUUUUCUUAUAUCUUGCAACUGUUGUACAGACAGCAGGUAUACAAAUACAUUUGUUAAUUUCUGUGUAAUUUGGUCUCUUGUGAAGUUGUCUCAUUGGCCAAAAAAUUAUACCACAUCUUCUUUUUUAUGUUUACUGUACUGUAUCAAUAAUGUACUGUUAUAGUACUUUGUUUAGCAAAUGAUAAUUAUUAUAGAUUAUUGUUGAUUAUCUCAACAAGAUUGAUUUUAGAAAAGCAAUCGAGUUGAGAUGAUCAAUGAUAAUCUGUUUAUCGCUAUUCGACCUACGAAGACGUUGUCAUUUUCAUGUCAAUUUCAUAAGCAAUACCACACGGCUCCUUAGUUUCUAGCGAUAAUUGUCCAUCUCAAGCGAGUAGCAUGAUAUGAAAAUUAUCACAAAAAAAGAUCAAAGGAAAAAUGCACAAAAUAGCGAUAAUACAAAUUACUGUAUUUUACAGUAAACAAGUCCUCUUAGUUAAGUCCCAUUUUAAGC